CCUACGGGAGGCAGCAGUGGGGGAUAUUGCACAAUGGGCGAAACUCUGAUGCAGCGACGCCGCGUGUGGGAAGACGGUCCUCUGGAUUGUAAACCACUGUCCCCAGGGACGAAGAUGACGGUACCUGGGGAGGAAGCUCCGGCUAACUACGUGCCAGCGGCCGAGGUAAUACGUAGCGAGCGAGCGUUGUCCGGAUUUACUGGGUUUAACGGGAGCGUAGGCGGGACUGCAUGUUGGGGGUAAAAUCUACCGGCUCAACCGGUAGCCGCACUUCAAACUGCAGUUCUUGAGUGAAGUAGAGGCAGGCGGAAUUCGUGGUGUAGCGGUGAAAUGCGUAGAUAUUACGAGGAACACCGGUUGCGAAGGCGGCCUGCUGGGCUUUUACUGACGCUGAGGCUCGAAAGUGUGGGGAGCAAACAGGAUUAGAUACCCCAGUAGUC
rnacentral:rRNA from 1 species